CUACAGGCUUAACACAUGCAAGUCGAGGGGCAGCAUGGUCUUAGCUUGCUAAGGCCGAUGGCGACCGGCGCGCGGGUGAGUAACACGUAUCCAACCUGCCGUCUACUCUUGGACAGCCUUCUGAAAGGAAGAUUAAUACAAGAUGGCAUCAUGAGUCCGCAUGUUCACAUGAUUAAAGGUAUUCCGGUAGACGAUGGGGAUGCGUUCCAUUAGAUAGUAGGCGGGGUAACGGCCCACCUAGUCUUCGAUGGAUAGGGGUUCUGAGAGGAAGGUCCCCCACAUUGGAACUGAGACACGGUCCAAACUCCUACGGGAGGCAGCAGUGAGGAAUAUUGGUCAAUGGGCGAGAGCCUGAACCAGCCAAGUAGCGUGAAGGAUGACUGCCCUAUGGGUUGUAAACUUCUUUUAUAAAGGAAUAAAGUCGGGUAUGGAUACCCGUUUGCAUGUACUUUAUGAAUAAGGAUCGGCUAACUCCGUGCCAGCAGCCGCGGUAAUACGGAGGAUCCGAGCGUUAUCCGGAUUUAUUGGGUUUAAAGGGAGCGUAGAUGGAUGUUUAAGUCAGUUGUGAAAGUUUGCGGCUCAACCGUAAAAUUGCAGUUGAUACUGGAUAUCUUGAGUGCAGUUGAGGCAGGCGGAAUUCGUGGUGUAGCGGUGAAAUGCUUAGAUAUCACGAAGAACUCCGAUUGCGAAGGCAGCCUGCUAAGCUGCAACUGACAUUGAGGCUCGAAAGUGUGGGUAUCAAACAGGAUUAGAUACCCUGGUAGUCCACACGGUAAACGAUGAAUACUCGCUGUUUGCGAUAUACUGCAAGCGGCCAAGCGAAAGCGUUAAGUAUUCCACCUGGGGAGUACGCCGGCAACGGUGAAACUCAAAGGAAUUGACGGGGGCCCGCACAAGCGGAGGAACAUGUGGUUUAAUUCGAUGAUACGCGAGGAACCUUACCCGGGCUUAAAUUGCAGAUGAAUUACGGUGAAAGCCGUAAGCCGCAAGGCAUCUGUGAAGGUGCUGCAUGGUUGUCGUCAGCUCGUGCCGUGAGGUGUCGGCUUAAGUGCCAUAACGAGCGCAACCCUUGUUGUCAGUUACUAACAGGUUCCGCUGAGGACUCUGACAAGACUGCCAUCGUAAGAUGUGAGGAAGGUGGGGAUGACGUCAAAUCAGCACGGCCCUUACGUCCGGGGCUACGCACGUGUUACAAUGGGGGGUACAGAGGGCCGCUACCACGCGAGUGGAUGCCAAUCCCCAAAACCUCUCUCAGUUCGGACUGGAGUCUGCAACCCGACUCCACGAAGCUGGAUUCGCUAGUAAUCGCGCAUCAGCCACGGCGCGGUGAAUACGUUCCCGGGCCUUGUACACACCGCCCGUCAAGCCAUGGGAGCCGGGGGUACCUGAAGUGCGUAACCGCGAGGAGCGCCCUAGGGUAAAACUGGUGACUGGGGCU
rnacentral:rRNA from 1 species